GUCGAACGAGACCUUCGGGUCUAGUGGCGCACGGGUGCGUAACGCGUAGGCAAUCUACCCGAUACAGGGGAAUAACACGGGGAAACUCGUGCUAAUACCGCGUAAUAAAUGAGAAGGCAUCUUCUUAUUUUAAAAGCUUCGGCGGUAUCGGAAGAGCCUGCGUCCUAUUAGCUAGUUGGUAAGGUAACAGCUUACCAAGGCGACGAUAGGUAGGGGAACUGAGAGGUUGAUCCCCCACACUGGUACUGAGAUACGGACCAGACUCCUACGGGAGGCAGCAGUGAGGAAUAUUGGUCAAUGGACGGAAGUCUGAACCAGCCAUGCUGCGUGUCGGAAGACGGCCCUCUGGGUUGUAAACGGCUUUUCUUUGGGAAGAACACGCUCUUGCGAGAGCAACUGACGGUACCAAAGGAAUAAGCACCGGCUAACUACGUGCCAGCAGCCGCGGUAAUACGUAGGGUGCAAGCGUUGUCCGGAUUUAUUGGGUUUAAAGGGUGCGUAGGCGGCUAUUUAAGUCGUGGGUGAAAGCCCGUCGCUUAACGACGGAAUUGCCUGCGAUACUGGAUAGCUUGAGUAUCGUUAAGGUUGGCGGAAUGGGAGGUGUAGCGGUGAAAU
rnacentral:rRNA from 1 species